rnacentral:tRNA from 1 species
AUUAAGGUAAACUAUAUAGGUUGUUGGGCUCAUAACCCGUUUGAAGAGGAUAACUCUCCUUAAUU